CAGGAUAAAGGACGUACAAGUUAUGUUAUAUCAAUGGAACUUGUACGGUAUUGAUGUCAAGGCACAUAAGUUACAAUAUUCCAUUUUACUCUGCAAGAACUACAGUAUUUUCCUUUAAAGGAAAAAAUCAUAAUAACCUCCAAGAAGACUUACUCAAGACCAAUUGAAUCUCUUCUUUUCAUUUGACCAUCUUCCUGACCAUCCUUUCUUGAACGAAGAGACUGUUUUUUUUGUGGAGAGUCCUUGGGAGCAGGUCUUGGAAAAUCUUCCUGACCACCCUUUCUUGAACGAAGAGACUGUUUUUUUUGUGGAGAGUCCUUGGGAGCAGGUCUUGGAUGCUCAGGAUCAAAAGGCAUCUCACUUAAUUCAACCAACUGUGAGAGCAAUUUUCUUGAAGAUACGUCAAUAAGCUCUCUACCAGGAGACAUUUCUCCGCUUGAGAUAACGGCAGGAUCUAAGGCAUAGAUA
rnacentral:lncRNA from 1 species